rnacentral:lncRNA from 10 species
GAUGGCGAGUGGCUCAGUCCAGAUCACACCCCCACGAGUCGGCAGGCGCCUGGUUCUCGCUCAGUCUGGAGGUUAGCGGUCUUGCCUUGGCUUUUCUGGCCCUGAAACUUUUGAAGAAGAUAGACAGUUAUGUUGUAACUUUUCCCUCAGUUUGGAUUUGUCCAAUGUCUCUUCACCGUGACAUUCAAAUUAUGCACCUGUGGCAGCAAAAUUGCCGAAGUCAUGUGGUGUCCUUCCUGUGCCCUGCUGUUGGGUGGUGCCUGAGCUCAACUACAACUACCCAGUGAGGCGCCUGCCAGAUGUGUCCACUGAGCCCCUCCAGCUGGCUUCCAUGCCCUCUCCCCAUGAUGCUGUGGCUGCUUGAGUCCUGCCUAACUUCUGACGAAACACAAUAUUCCAGGCUUCUCUGGUGCCUUCCCUGCCCCUGCCCUGGGAUCCACCAUUUCUCUCCAAAGAGCCCUGGGUCCUGUGAGUGGAGAAUGGCACCCAAGACCUGGGACGGUUUUUGCUUCAAGUGUUAGAGAGCUUUCUUAUGGGAUGCACACAUUUAAGAUUCUUAUGUCUUCUUGAUGAAUCGACCCUUUUAUCAUUAGAAGCUGCCCCUCCCUUUCUCUUAAACCAUUGCAUUUAAGGUCUGCUUUAGUAUUAAUAAAGC